rnacentral:misc_RNA from 1 species
CCGGCGAAUCACCCGCCGUGAACACUCAUCCCAGCCACCGAACGAAUCCUACGAAAAGUCAAAUAUGCCCCAACUCUGCACUCUGCACUCUGCACUCUGCACAUACUAAAUCACUCUGCGAUGGUUUGUUUAGUCCUUCGCACAAGGACCUGCGCAUUUACCACUCUUCAUUUCUCUCUUGGAAGUCCUUAUCUAAAACACUAAACUAAUCUUAAAAAUCCACACCUCAAAGCCCUGAUUACCUCUUGCUAUGCAAUCAAAAGCUAUGACGAAGGAAUUUGCGGUGCCGCCUGUUAUUUUUCCUUCCGGCGGCAACCCCGCGGUCGGUGGUGCCUCCAACGCGCAGCAACCCCGGGUUCCAACUGCACCGUUUCAGCCUCCAAGACCUUCAAACUCCGGAAUCCCCUUCAUGUCAUUCGAGAUUGGUUCUGCUACGACCGCACCAUACGGCGUCGGUCCCAUCGGCGGGGGGGCCACUGCGNCUGCGUCCUCCGCCGCUGCGAACUUCGACGAAGAGGAGCCACUCCUCGAUGAGCUCGGCAUACAUCCUGAUCAAAUCUGGAGAAAGACGAAAUCAAUUAUGAAUCCAUUCCGCGUCAAUCCCACUGUCCACAAAGAUUCGGAUCUAUCUGGCCCAUUCUUCCUUUACUUCUCUCUUUGCUUAUUUCAAUUACUCGCCGGGAAAUUCCAAUUUGGUGUGAUUUUGGGCUGGAUAGUCGUAUCGUCGAUUUUUCUAUAUGUGGUGUUUAAUAUGUUGGCCGGAAGGAAUGGCAAUUUGAAUCUGCAUACUUGUACUAGUGUUCUUGGCUACUGUUUGCUACCGGUUGUGAUGUUAUCGGCGAUAUCUCUUUUCAUGCCACCGGGCGGGCAUAUCAGCUUCAUAAUCGCUGGGUUUUUUGUCAUUUGGGCAACUAGGGCUUGCACGAAUCUAAUGGUGGCUGUGGCUGAUGGAGGAGAGGAACAUCGUGG